rnacentral:rRNA from 1 species
GAUGAACGCUGACAGCAUGCUUAACACAUGCAAGUCAACUGUGGCGGACGGGUGAGUAACGCGUAAAGAACUUGCCUCACAGAUAGGGACAACCUUUGGAAACGAAUGCUAAUACCUGAUCCUGUGAGAGAGCUUUGCGUCCCAUUAGCUAGUUGGCGAGGUAACGGCUCACCAGGGCGAUGAUGGGUAGCCGGCCUGAGAGGGUGAUCGGCCACAAGGGGACCGAGACGCGGCCCUUACGGCUACGGGAGGCAGCAGCGGGGAAUAGAGGACAAUGGACCAAAGUCUGAUCCAGCAAUUCGGUUUGCACGAUGAAGUUUUCGGAAUGAAGAGUGCUUUGAGUUGCGAAUCGGUACCAACAGAAGAAGUGACGGCUAAAUCCGUGCCAGCAGCCGCGGUAAUAC